AUGUGGCGCGCGGAGGGGAAAUGGCUGCCGAAAACAAGCCGGAAGGUAAGUCAGAAACAUCGGGGAUAUUUUUUACUUGUACGGCAAGAGUAUGAACAUGGACAUUUGAAAAUAUACCUGCCCAAAAAGCUGCUUGAAUGUCUACCAAAAUGCUCCACGUUGCCAAAGGAGAGACACAGGUGGAACACCAAUGAGGUAAGAAGUUAG
ensembl:processed_transcript